AGGAGGAACAUAUUUACUAGUUAUAUCAUCUGCAAUUGCCUGAAUCUCAAGACGUUCUUCGAACCAAUCAUAGAUUUUACUCAUAUUCCGGAAAUACAAGAAAAAAAUAAAUUCCACGGUCGAACUACCAAAAUAGAAUGGGAUAAAAACCAGAAAACUAAAUGCAAUGUUUCACUUUGUAUUGAAAAAGCUAGUUAAUGGUUCUUGUAAAUCUAAUUCAUUGAAAUUCCAUCCAGUAAAAUGGACGAAUUAUAAAUCU